rnacentral:rRNA from 1 species
UACGUAGGAGGCGAGCGUUGUCCGGAGUUACUGGGCGUAAAGGGCAUGCAGGCGGUCGGACGCGUUUCGGGUGACAGCGGGUGGCUUAACUACCCGAGUGGUCGAAAGACGGUUUGACUUGAGGACGCGAGAGGGACACGGAAUUCCGGGUGGAGUGGUGAAAUGCGUAGAGAUCCGGAGGAACACCGAAGGCGAAGGCAGUGUCCUGGCGCGUAACUGACGCUGAGGUGCGAAAGCCAGGGGAGCGAACGGG